GACGAACGCUGGCGGCGUGCCUAACACAUGCAAGUCGAGCGAAUGAAGUUCCUUCGGGAACGGAUUUAGCGGCGGACGGGUGAGUAACACGUGGGCAACCUGCCUCAUGGAGGGGAAUAGCCUUCCGAAAGGGAGAUUAAUACCGCAUAAGAUUGUAGUUUCGCAUGAAACAGCAAUUAAAGGAGUAAUCCGCUAUGAGAUGGACCCGCGUCGCAUUAGCUAGUUGGUGAGGUAACGGCUCACCAAGGCGACGAUGCGUAGCCGACCUGAGAGGGUGAUCGGCCACAUUGGGACUGAGACACGGCCCAGACUCCUACGGGAGGCAGCAGUGGGGAAUAUUGCACAAUGGGGGAAACCCUGAUGCAGCAACGCCGCGUGAGUGAUGACGGUCUUCGGAUUGUAAAACUCUGUCUUCAGGGACGAUAAUGACGGUACCUGAGGAGGAAGCCACGGCUAACUACGUGCCAGCCGCCGCCGUAACAC
rnacentral:rRNA from 1 species